UUAGAGUUUUGGACCUGGCUCAGAUUGAACGCUGGCGGCAGGCUUAACACAUGCAAGUCGAGCGGGCGAGGGUGGUUCGGUACAUGAGCUAGCGGCGGACGGGUGAGUAAUGCUUAGGAAUCUGCCUAUUAGUGGGGGACAACAUUCCGAAAGGAAUGCUAAUACCGCAUACGCCCUACGGGGGAAAGCAGGGGAUCUUCGGACCUUGCGCUAAUAGAUGAGCCUAAGUCAGAUUAGCUAGUUGGUGGGGUAAAGGCCUACCAAGGCGACGAUCUGUAGCGGGUCUGAGAGGAUGAUCCGCCACACUGGGACUGAGACACGGCCCAGACUCCUACGGGAGGCAGCAGUGGGGAAUAUUGGACAAUGGGCGAAAGCCUGAUCCAGCCAUGCCGCGUGUGUGAAGAAGGCCUUUUGGUUGUAAAGCACUUUAAGCGAGGAGGAGGCUACCUGGGAUUAAUACUCUAGGAUAGUGGACGUUACUCGCAGAAUAAGCACCGGCUACUC
rnacentral:rRNA from 1 species